rnacentral:misc_RNA from 1 species
UCCUUCCUUUUUCCAAACUCCUACUCUCUCUUGGAUCGCUUCUGCUGCUUGCCAUCAUUCCGAUCAACGAUCGCAGUGAAUUUGGCCGACGCGUGUCCAGGUAUAUAUUUAGGCAUGUUUGCAGUCAUUUUCCCAUGUUUCUCCAUGUUGAAGAUAUAAAUGCCUUUCGUUCUGAUCGUGCUUACGUCUUUGGUUAUGAGCCACAUUCAGUUUUUCCUCUUGGUCUUGGUAUGCUGUCAGGCUAUAUGGGUCUCAUGCCUAUUCCCAAAAUAAAGGUCCUUGCAAGCAGCGCUGUGUUCUGGACGCCAUUUUUAAGACAUAUAUGGACAUGGUGUGAUGUUACACCAGCAACGAGGAAAAAUUUUAUGUCCCUCCUGGAAGCUGGUUGUAGUUG